rnacentral:rRNA from 1 species
ACGUUAGCGGCGGACGGGUGAGUAACACGUGGGUAACCUACCUAUAAGACUGGGAUAACUUCGGGAAACCGGAGCUAAUACCGGAUAAUAUUUCGAACCGCAUGGUUCGAUAGUGAAAGAUGGUUUUGCUAUCACUUAUAGAUGGACCUGCGCCGUAUUAGCUAGUUGGUAAGGUAACGGCUUACCAAGGCGACGAUACGUAGCCGACCUGAGAGGGUGAUCGGCCACACUGGAACUGAGACACGGUCCAGACUCCUACGGGAAGGCAGCAGCG